rnacentral:rRNA from 1 species
AUUGGAGGGCAAGUCUGGUGCCAGCAGCCGCGGUAAUUCCAGCUCCAAUAGCGUAUAUUAAACUUGUUGCAGUUAAAAAGCUCGUAGUUGAAUUUCUGCGUCACCGUAUUUUGACUUUUGUCGACUGUCGGUUUCGCUUUUGGGAUUUAUCCCUUUUUACUUUGAGAAAAUUAGAGUGUUUCAAGCAGACUUUUGUCUUGAAUACUUCAGCAUGGAAUAAUAGGGUAGGACUUUGGUUCUAUUUUGUUGGUUUGUGAACCUUAGUAAUGGUUAAUAGGAACGGUUGGGGGCAUUCGUAUUUAACUGUCAGAGGUGAAAUUCUCAGAUUUGUUAAAGACGAACUACUGCGAAAGCAUUUGCCAAGGACGUUUUCAUUAAUCAAGAACGAAAGUUAGGGGAUCGAAGACGAUCAGAUACCGUCGUAGUCCUAACCAUAAACU